UCUGCCUGUGUAGCCCUAAACCCCGGGUUCAUUCACGGCUAUUAUACGGACAAAUUAAAUAAAACCCAGUAUGGGUCGGAGGGGAGCGGAGAGCCACGCCGGCCCUGUGUCGGAAAGAGUCGAGGGGUGGAUAGGAGGAGAGAUGUACACAGGCCCGGGUUCAGUUAGGGCUUCAGUGUGGGAUCUACCGCUUCCUCCCAUGGAGAGACGGACGCCUGGUUAAAGGAGGGAAGAUUUGGAAAGAAGAUGGCGUCCACAGUGGAGCCAGGCAGACGGACAAACACAGGAGAUGGACUACAGAUCUCCUCUAGACACAGACGGUCACAGUGUGUGCAAAACAGAUCAUACAAGCCUCUCAACAGCACUGCAGCCGACCCGGUACAAGGCAGCGAGCGAGAGGGGAGAAUCCAGCCGCAGCGCGCAGCGUGCCAAUGUAGUUUGAGAGGCGGCAGCACCUGACAGAUGCCACUCGGGAGCAAAAUCCCAACGAGGGCUGAAAAGAUCCUUCACAUGACGGGAAGCCAGCGGAGCAGGAGGAGAAUAUUAAAUCACAUGUUCAUGGGUCGAGUGCCAAAACUGAGCAAGAUGUACAUUUCUGCAAAACGUGUGUGGACUUCUAAACAUGAGUCGACAAACUACUCAGAUGAUCUGUUGAAUGUUUGAAU